UAAAAUAUAACAAUAAAUAAUAUAUAUCAGUCAUGUAAAAAUUUAAAAGAAAAAAACUAAUUUUAAAAUGUUUGACCUCGUGAUUUAGUCACUCGCGAUCAUCUUAUACCAUUAUUUUGUAAUGUAAGCACCAGGAUCUUGACAGCCACCCAUCCUAUAUCACAACAUUGUAAUGUAAGCACCGAGAUCUUGACAGCCACCCAUCCUAUAUCACAACAUUGUAAUAUAAGCACCGGGAUCUUGCCAGCCACCGAUCUUAUACCACAACAUUAUAAUGUAGGCACCAGGAUCUUGACAGCCACCCAUCUUGUACCACAACAUUGUAAUGUAAGCACCUGAAUCCUGACCGCCACUCCUCCUAUAUCACCGCAUUUAUUGUUGUGAAUAUCAAUUGAAUUGUUUGUUCUAACAGCUUUUGGUCAGUAGAAAAAAUGAAUUGCUAAAUACUCUUUUCAAUCGACAAUACUUUUUUUGUGUAUCAAAAUUGCUAUCCCGUAUACAUCUCUCAACCUUUUUUAUUGUCAUUACGUCAACAUGUGUCGAUAUCACAUUAAUUACACUUCUUUUUCUUAAAUUUAAAUUUUGUGAGUAUAAAUUGAAACAAAUAUACAUGAUACUUACUUUAAACAACUGGUUUCGUGGACAGAAUAACAGUUUCGUGAUUUCUGGUUUGUUUACAUCUACACGAUCUAAGGAACAAAGGGAACGCGAAAGAGUGCGCGUGAAAACCGAUACUCUACAC
rnacentral:lncRNA from 1 species